CGGAGCGUGACGCAGGGGUAGCGUGCGUGCUUUGGGAGCACGAAGCCGGAGGUUCAAAUCCUCUCGCUCCGACCA
rnacentral:tRNA from 1 species